rnacentral:rRNA from 1 species
GGGAGCUACUUCGAAACAGCUAAGAGCUAACCCAUCUCUGUUGCAAUAGAGUGUGAUGAUUUCCAAGUAGAGGUGAUAAACCUACCGCACCUAGAGAUAGCUGGUUACUCAAAAAAAGAAUUUAAGUUCAACCUUAAGUUUUAAAACUUAAGAGCCAUUCAAAUAAGGCACAGCUUAUUUGAAAUAGGAUACAACCUAAAAUAUAGGGUAAUAUCAAGUGGGCCUAAAAACAGCCACCUUUAAAAAACGUUAAAGUUUAAUUUCCCCAUUUUUAUAAAACCCAUAAAUACUAUUGAGUAAUUCUAUACUUUAUAGAAGUUUUUAUGCUAGAACUAGUAAUAAGAAAUUUCUCUAAAAUGUAAGUUUAAGCCACUUUAGACAAUCUACCGGCAAUUAACGUAAAUGAAUCAAUUUUAGUAACAAGAAAAACCUAAAAAUACUACGUUAAUCUUACACUAGAACAUUUUUAGAAAGAUUAAAAGAG